rnacentral:rRNA from 1 species
AUUGAACGCUGGCGGAAUGCUUUACACAUGCAAGUCGAGCGGCAGCACGGGGGCAACCCUGGUGGCGAGCGGCGAACGGGUGAGUAACACAUCGGAACAUGCCCAGUCGUGGGGGAUAACACUUCGAAAGAAGUGCUAAUACCGCAUACGUCCUGAGGGAGAAAGCGGGGGAUCUUCGGACCUCGCGCGAUUGGAGUGGCCGAUGUCAGAUUAGCUAGUUGGUGGGGUAAAGGCCUACCAAGGCAACGAUCUGUAGCUGGUCUGAGAGGAUGAUCGGCCACACUGGGACUGAGACACGGCCCAGACUCCUACGGGAGGCAGCAGUGGGGAAUUUUGGACAAUGGGGGCAACCCUGAUCCAGCCAUUCCGCGUGAGUGAAGAAGGCCUUCGGGUUGUGAAGCUCUUUCGGCAGGAACGAAACGGCGAGCUCUAACAUAGCUUGCUAAUGACGGUACCUGAAGAAGAAGCACCGGCUAACUACGUGCCAGCCGCCGCCGUAACAC